rnacentral:tRNA from 1 species
GGGGUUGUGGCUCAGUGGUAGAGCGCUUGUCUAGCACACAAGCAUGAGAUACUGGAUUUGAUCCCCUACACCA